rnacentral:tRNA from 1 species
AGCGCGGUAGAGCAGUGGUAGCUCGUUGGGUUCAUAUCCCAAAGGUCGGCGGUUCGAGUCCGCCCUGCGCCA